rnacentral:lncRNA from 1 species
CCACUUUUAAGACCUCGACUUAUCAAGUUAAAAUUCACCUUAUUCCAGCUAGUAGAUCUCCAAAUAUUAUAAAAAUCCUAAACAAUCCCAAUAUGCCAACUUCUGAUACCUCUUUAUAUUAAUGAUCAAAUAUCCACUAUCUGUACUAUUAGAUUAAUACAAAUUUUUGCAUGUACUUAGCAUACUCAACCAUCUGGACACUUUUAAAAUUUCAACCAUAGAUAUAUCUCCAAUUUUGUAAAACAAUCAAGAGUACCAGCCUUAAC